rnacentral:rRNA from 1 species
GACGAACGCUGGCGGCGUGCUUAACACAUGCAAGUCGAGCGGUAAGGCUCCUUCGGGAGUACACGAGCGGCGAACGGGUGAGUAACACGUGAGCAAUCUGCCCUUCACUUUGGGAUAACCACCGGAAACGGUGGCUAAUACCGAAUACGACCACUUCAGGCAUCUGAUGGUGGUGGAAAGUUCCGGCGGUGAAGGAUGAGCUCGCGGCCUAUAAGCUUGUUGGUGAGGUAAUGGCUCACCAAGGCUUCGACGGGUAGCGGGCCUGAGAGGGUGACCGGCCACACUGGGACUGAGACACGGCCCAGACUCCUACGGGAGGCAGCAGUGGGGAAUAUUGGACAAUGGGCGAAAGCCUGAUCCAGCAACGCCGCGUGAGGGAUGACGGCCUUCGGGUUGUAAACCUCUUUCAGCGGGGACGAAGCGAAAGUGACGGUACCCGCAGAAGAAGGACCGGCCAACUACGUGCCAGCCGCCGCCGUAACAC